CGGAUAGAUCAUAUCAGCCGCUCCCAAGCUCCUCCAUGAUGUGAGCCCGUAGGUGGAUUAAAGCUCCAUUGGAUUCCCCUCUGAAGCAGGACAUCAUGGAUCUGCACCUGAUUCCACUGCUCGAUGGCCCUCCUCAGCUCCCGCUCUGUUCCUACAAAGUUCGUUCCAUUGUCAGAGUGCAGCUCUCGCACUUGACCUCUCCUGGCAGUGAAACGCCUAAGUGCAUUAAUAAAGGAGUAGUAUCCAGCGAUGAUGCAACCUCAAUGUGCACCGCUCUGAUGGCAAGGCAAGUAAAAAUAACACCGUACCUCUUUACCAUGCUCCUUCUGCUCUUAACCUCGAAAGGUCCAAAGCAGUCUACACCCACACGAGUGAAGGGUGGUUCAUCUGGGACAAUCCUUUCAUGGGGCAAGUCUGCCAUCUGCUGGUGAACUGGUGGAGCAUUCAGGCGGCGACAGGUGAUGCACCUGGACAAAACUCUCCUGAUGGCUGAACUCACACCAGCAAUCCAAUACCUUUCUCUCAACUUAGAAAGCAUAUGGUUACGUCCUCCAUGUCCAACUUGUUGGUGCACACGUCUAAGUAGAAGCUCUGCGAUGUGGAGGUCUUUUGCCAGGAUUAUUGGAUGUUUCUCCUCCAUAGGCAUGGACAAUCUACUGAGCCGACCACCAACUCUCAGGACUCCAUCUUGCAGCUGUGGACAGAGCUUAAGGAGGUGACUGGACUUCCUAACAGGCUGCCCUUUCUGCAGGCUGUUUACCUCCUCAGGAAAUCUUUUCCCUUGGCAGAACUUGAUGAUGGCAAGCUCAGCCUGGUCCAAGUCUUCCACUGUAAGACUCCUCUGUGCCACUGUCCUCUUAAAAUUGUUCAUCUGCUCUUCCACAGAAGAUGUCUGGUUUUCUUUGGUGAUGUCAGACUGUGCAUAGGUCAGGUGUAACUCUCUUCUCUUCUUUACACAGGACAUGAGAAAGGUUUUAAUCUUCAAGAGCCAUGCCACCGCUUUCCUCAGACUUGUCCAAGAGGAAAAGUAUUCAAUAAAGUGAGUUACAGGCUCUUCCCUGGCCUGGACAACACUCACUGCAGCAACACCUUUGACCUCAGGGUCACCAGGUGAAAGAUGAUUGAGGUCUUCAUGCUCAACAGGCCAUUCACUCUCAGGAUGCAAAAGAAAGUGAGGCCCUGACACCCAUGUAGCGUCAGCAACAAACAUGUCAACUCUCACACCUCUGGAGGCCAUAUCCGCUGGAUUGCUGCUGGUGUCCACAUACCUCCAUUGGGCCGGACAGGAAACCUUGAGGAUUUGUGAGACUCGGUUUGCAACAAAAACUUUGAACCGAGAAGUCUCAUUCCUGAUGUAUUUCAGAACAGAUGUACUGUCCGUCCAGAACACGGAGUCCAGCAGAUCCAUCUGUAACUCUUUCCUCCAGAGUGUAUCAAUGCGGCUGGCCAUAGUUGCAGCGACCAGCUCCAUCCUGGGGAUUGUGACACAUUUUAACGGUGCUACUCGAGCCUUUCCCAUCACAAAAGCACUGUGUAUUUCCAAGUUCUUUGUUUCCAACAGCAGAUGCAGCUGUUGCAGCCACUCCAGCCACUCCUUUGAGACAGACUCAGGCACAGUAUCAUCCCAGCCUAUCCCUCUCCUGCACAGGUCUCUCAGGAUCUUUUUUGCUAUUAAAACCACAGGGCUCAGCAUUCCAAGGGGGUCAUAAAUGGAACUGACGGUGGAUAGGAUUCCUCUUCUGGUAAGUGGUCUAUCCUUAAGUACAAUCUUGAACUUAACUGAGUCUGAUUUAAUACUCCAUUCCACAUCCAGCACUCGCUCCACAGGUAAUGAGUCCAGCUCCAUGUCCAACCCUUCAACGCCUUUUGCUCUGUGAUUCUCUGGGAUGGCUUCCAGCACUCCAGACCUGUUACUCAACCACUUUGUGAGAGUAAAUCCACCCUUUGAACACAAAGAGACCAAAUUCUUGUAAAGCAACACUGCUUCCUUCUCCGUGGCCACUGACACAAGGCAAUCAUCAACAUAAAAGCAGUGCAAUAUUUUAUCCACUGUUUCCUCACUGUAGUGAUGUCCAUAGUCCUCUGCACACUUUCUGAGAGCAAAGUUGGCACAGCUGGGGGAUGAUGUUGCUCCAAACAAAUGCACCUUCAACCUAUGCUCAGCAGGUAGUUGCUCCAUAUCCCCGUUUGGCCACCAGAGGAACCUGAGGAGAUUUCUGUCAUCAGGAGGCACCUGUACCUGAUGGAACAUGGAUUCAAUGUCGGCCAUGAUCACAACUGGUUCUCUCCUAAAUCGAGUCACCACUCCAAUCAGAGAGCUGGUAAGAUCAGGGCCCUGUAGAAGUUGAGCAUUCAGUGAUGUACCUUGGUAUCUUGCUCCACAGUAAAAUACAACUCUGAUCUCUCCUUUGGUGGGAUGGUAAACGCCAUGGUGUGGUAUGUACCAUACUUUCCCAUCACCACGGUCCAGCUCCUCUAUGGGCACCUUUUCAGCAUAGCCUUAAGCCAACGGGUCAUUUAUAAAGGUGUUAUACUCAAUGUGAAAUGUUGAGUCCUUCUGAAACCUUCUUUUCAAAUAGUACAAACGCUGCUCAACAAUUCUCUUGUUAUUAGGCAUACUGACAUCAAUGUUCCUCAAAGGUAAUGAAAUCUGGUAAUGCCCCUCCACCUUUCUUGCUGAAUUGGUGACAAACUCCAAGAAUCUCUGAUCCUCUCUAAACUGUUGCUGCCAGAGGUCCUCCAGGUUCAUGACUGAAACUCUGUUGACAGAUACUUGUGGAUGCUUCCAGCUUCCAGCAUCUCUGCUGUUUCCAGUCAGGGGACCAUUGACAGUCCAGCCCAGCAUGGUACGGAUAGCAUAUGGUCCAUCAUUCACGCUACACACCACUUCCAGCGGUUCCAGUGCUUUAGGAACAUUGGUUCCUAUAAGAAGCUCUAUUCAUGCAUCAAUCUGAGGCAUGGACUCUUGCGUAUAAGCUCUUGGCAGCUCGAGAAAAUUGUCCCCCUCCAGUGCAGCAACCUCCAGUCCUGACACAAUGUUGCUGCUUACAACUUUCUCCUGGCCCAUGGUUCGAAGGAGAAUGUGGCCCUUCCUCCCUGCGAGGUGGAGCUUUUGCAUUAAGCUCUCAGUGCAAAACACAGCAGUGCUCCCCUGGUCCAAGAAAGCAUAAGUGACGACAAUUUUGGUUCCUUUAUUAGAUUUAACCUGUACUGGCACAAUAGGCAGUUUGCAGUCCUGGUCUCCAGCCCCUGUAAGACCACUAGACAUCAGUGUGUUAUCAACACGCAGCUCUGGGCUCCUCUCCUCCAUCUGCUCAAAAUCUUUGACGGGUUCCUUGUGUAGUACAGUGGGAUGUUUAAGGCUACAUCUUGAACAGGAAAUCCUUUUACGACAAUCCUUACUGAUGUGUCCUGUACACAAGCAGCCAAAACAGAUGCCAUUUUCCUUUAAGAAGCCUAUUUUCCUCUCAUGAGGCAUUUUUCCCAUUUGUACACAAACAUCUAAUGUGUGUCCUCCUCCACAGCAGAUGCAUACUUUCUUGCCAUUUGUUUAAUUUCCUUUUCUUUCCUUGCAGACUGAUGUUUGUUCUCCAGAGGGCCUACAGUGGUAGCAAAACUGCUCCCCUUGUUUCCAGGACGAAACUGUGGCUUGUUUUGGUUAGGUUUGUUUGUUCCUCUAAUCACUAUUGGCUGAGAGUCUUGUAUGUUGCCGAACACAGGAUCUGUCAUAAUUUUCACUUGCCUUUCGAUGAAGUCAGCGAUAUCUGUGAAUCUAGCUCUUCGGUCGUGUUGUUCUUGCAACUCACAUGCUCGGUUUCUCCAUUUGUCUCUGAAUUUGUAGGGCAAUUUUUUAAUGAUGCUCAACAUGUUAGAAGGCAUAUCCAUAUCCAAAAGAUACUGCACGUCCUCCAUGACGUUACAACAGCCUCUGAGGAAGAGACUGUAGUCCUGCAGGGCCUUUGCGUCCUCUGAUUUAAUUGGAGGCCAUGAAAGGGCUUUGUCCAUGUAAGCAAAGGCAAUCUUUUGUUCAUUUCCGAAAUGCUCCUUUAAUAAAGCUUUUGCUUUUGUGAAUCCUCGUUCUGGAUUCAUGUGUUGACAGGUUUUCACAACUUCUUUGGCAUGACCCUUUGUGUGUUGUUCCAAAAAAUGUAAACGAUCACAGCUGUUGGUUGUAUUCCUCUCAACUCCAUUCUCAAAAGCAUUAAUGAACGUGUGGUAUUUUAAUGGAUCACACUCAUAAAUUGGAAUUUCUCUCUUAGGUAAGGCUGAGAGGCAUUGCUGUUGCAUUAGCAAUGUUGUUAUAUCGUUUUGUUUCCUUAUGAUGCCAAGAACAUCAUUGCUGGUUUCCAGAUCCACUCCUUGUUGUCCAUGUGAGUCUUGUGUGUUGAAUGGGCUCAUAGGAAGUUGCAUUUGGUUUUGUUCAUAUGAAGUUGUAUUCAUAGUUUUAUUUGUUUCAGUUUGUUGUGGAAUAAAUUCAUCUGCAUCAACAUUGAGUGACUGUUUAGCUUGUGCCUUUUCAAAAUAUGAUUUCAUUCCAUCUGAAACCUUUGAUGUCCUUUUUCCACUUGUUGUGCUUUUUGUCUUGAGAAUUUAAAGUGUUGCCAUUUUUCUGCAAUUUCAGUGUUCA